GCCGCGGUAAUACGGAGGGUGCAAGCGUUAAUCGGAAUUACUGGGCGUAAAGCGCACGCAGGCGGUUUGUUAAGUCAGAUGUGAAAUCCCCGCGCUUAACGUGGGAACUGCAUUUGAAACUGGCAAGCUAGAGUCUUGUAGAGGGGGGUAGAAUUCCAGGUGUAGCGGUGAAAUGCGUAGAGAUCUGGAGGAAUACCGGUGGCGAAGGCGGCCCCCUGGACAAAGACUGACGCUCAGGUGCGAAAGCGUGGGGAGCAAACAGGAUUAGAUACCCUGGUAGUCCACGCUGUAAACGAUGUCGACUUGGAGGUUGUGCCCUUGAGGCGUGGCUUCCGGAGCUAACGCGUUAAGUCGACCGCCUGGGGAGUACGGCCGCAAGGUUAAAACUCAAAUGAAUUGACGGGGGCCCGCACAAGCGGUGGAGCAUGUGGUUUAAUUCGAUGCAACGCGAAGAACCUUACCUACUCUUGACAUCCACAGAACUUAGCAGAGAUGCUUCGGUGCCUUCGGGAACUGUGAGACAGGUGCUGCAUGGCUGUCGUCAGCUCGUGUUGUGAAAUGUUGGGUUAAGUCCCGCAACGAGCGCAACCCUUAUCCUUUGUUG
rnacentral:rRNA from 1 species